AUUGAACGCUGGCGGCAGGCCUAACAAAUGCAAGUCGAGCGAGCGGCGGACGGGUGAGUAAUGUAUGGGGACGGCACGAUAGAGGGGGAUAACUACUGGAAACGGUGGCUAAUACCGCAUACUAUCGGAUAACCCAUAUGGGAUUAGCUAGUAGGUGGGGUAAAGGCUCACCUAGGCGACGAUCUCUAGCUGUUCGGACAGGAUGAUCAGCCACACUGGUACUGAUACACGGCCCAGACUCCUACGGGGGCAGCAGUGGGGAAUAUUGCACACUGGGCGCAAUCCUGCUGCAUCCAUGCCGCGUGUAUGAAGCAGGCCUUAGGGUUGUAAAUUACUUUCAGCGGGGAGGCGUUACCCGCAGAAGAAGCACCGGCUAACUCCGUGCCAGCAGCCGCGGUAAUAC
rnacentral:rRNA from 1 species